GGGCAGUUACCAGAGUGGCCAAAUGGGGCAGACUGUAAAUCUGCUAGCUUACGCUUACGGUGGUUCGAAUCCAUCACUGCCCACCU
rnacentral:tRNA from 1 species